GAGUUGAGAUUAGGAUUAGGUGUAGGUUUAGGUUUAGGGAUUUGAGAAUAGGUUAAGGUUUAGGUUUAGGAAAUCGGGUUCGGGUUCGGGAUCGGGUUUAGGAUCGGGUUUAGGCUUGGGUUUUCUAGUUUAGGUUAAGGUUUAAGUUAGGGAGUUGAGAUUAGGAUUUGGUGUAGGUUUAGGUUUUGAGAUUUGAGAAUACAUUUUGGUUUUAGGUCAUAGGUUUUGGUUUAGGUUAAGGUUAUAGGUUUAGGUUUAGGUUUAGGUUAUAAGCUAUAGGUUUAGGGAAUUGAGAAUAGGUUAAAGUUUAGGUUUAGGAAAUCGGGUUCGGGUUCGGCAUCGGGGUUAGGUUUGGAUUUUCAAGUUUAGGUUUAGGUUUAGGUUAGGGAGUUGAGAUUAGGAUUAGGUGUAGGUUUAGGUUUAGGGAUUUGAGAAUACAUUUAGGUUUUAGGUCAUAGGUUUAGGUUUUAGGCUUAGGUUUAGGUUAUAGGUUUAGGUUUAGGUUAUAAGUGUAGGUUAUAGGUUUAGGUUUAGAUUAGGUUAUAGGUUAAGGUUUAGGGAAUUGAGAAUAGGUUAAGGUUUAGGUUUAGGAAAUCGGGUUCGGGUUCGGGAUCGGGUUUAGGUUUGGGUUUUUAAGUUAGGUUUAGGUUUAGGUUAGGGAGUUGAGAUUAGGAUUAGGUGUAGGUUUAGGUUUAGGGAUUUGGGAAUAGGUUCAAGUUUAGGUUUAGGAAAUCGGGUUCGGGUUCAGGAUCGGGUUUAGGCUUGGGUUUUCUAGUUUAGGUUAAGGUUUAAGUUAGGGAGUUGAGAUUAGGAUUUGGUGUAGGUUUAGGUUUUGAGAUUUGAGAAUACAUUUUGGUUUUAGGUCAUAGGUUUUGGUUUAGGUUAAGGUUAUAGGUUUAGGUUUAGGUUUAGGUUAUAAGCUAUAGGUUUAGGGAAUUGAGAAUAGGUUAAAGUUUAGGUUUAGGAAAUCGGGUUCGGGUUCGGCAUCGGGGUUAGGUUUGGAUUUUCAAGU